rnacentral:snRNA from 1 species
CUAAAGUUGGAGCAACAUCA